AGAAGACUCUAAGUGUAUAUCCGGAGUACCACGGAGCACGUGAAACUUUGUGGGAAAGAGGGAGGACCAUCUCCUAAGGCUAAAUACUAAUCGGUGACCGAUAGCGAAUAGUACCGUGAGGGAAAGGUGAAAAGAACCCCUGAAGGGGAGUGAAAAAGAACCUGAAACCCUAUGUUUACAAGCAUUGGAAGCACGAAUAAGGUGCAACCAAGUACUUUUUGUAGAACGGGCCAACGAGUUACGAUAUGUAGCAAGGAUAAGUGCUUCAGGUACGGAUCCGAAGCGAAAGCGAGUCUUAAUAGGGCGUUUAGUUAUAUGUCGUAGACCCGAAACCGUGUGACCUAUCCAUGAGCAGGUUGAAGCUUAAGUAAAAUUGAGUGGAGGACCGAACCCAUAUCUGUUGAAAAAGGUUGGGAUGACUUGUGGAUAGCGGAGAAAUUCCAAUCGAACUCGGAGAUAGCUGGUUCUCCCCGAAAUAGCUUUACUACCGAAACCUAUCAAACUGCGAAUACCAUAAUCUUAUACUCAGGAGUCAGACUAUGUAUGAUAAGAUUCAUAGUCGAGAGGGAAAGAGCCCAGACCAUCAGCUAAGGUCCCAAAAUGUAGAUUAAGUGGAAAAGGAUGUGGGAUUGCACAGACAACUAGGAUGUUGGCUUAGAAGCAGCCAUUCAUUCAAAGAGUGCGUAAUAGCUCACUAGUCGAGUGAUCCUGCGCCUAAUGUAAGGGGUAGGGGAGCAUUCUAUAUGGGACGAAGCUAUACCGUAAGGAGUGGUGGACUAUAUAGAAGAGAGAAUGUUGGCAUGAGUAGCGAAAGGCAGGUGAGAAUCCUGCCCACCGAAACCCUAAGGAUUCCUGAGCAAGGAUCGUCCACUCAGGGUAAGUCAGGACCUAAGCUGAGGACGAAAGUCAUAGGCGAUGGACAACAGGUAAAGAUUCCUGUACCACCGAUAUUCGUAUGAGUGAAGUAAUGACACAGGAGGCAAGGCUAAGCGUACGACUGGAAGAGUACGUCCAAGCAGUGAGUGAGUUAGAGUAGGUAAAUCCGCUUUAACAAUUGUGAGCUGUUAAGGGGAGUGAAAUAAAGUAGCGAAGUAGUUGUAGUCAAACUGUCAAGAAAAGUUGCUAGCGAGAAUAAAGGUGCCUGUACCGAAAACCGACACAGGUAGGGAGGUAGAGAAUACCAAGGUGAGCGAGAGAACUAUUGUUAAGGAACUCGGCAAAAUGACCCCGUAACUUCGGGAGAAGGGGUACCGAAGAAGGUUCAGAGCUAACUUCGGUCGCAGAGAAUAGGCCCAAGCGACUGUUUACCAAAAACACAGGUUUCUGCUAAAUCGAGAGAUGAAGUAUAGGAGCUGACGCCUGCCCGGUGCUGGAAGGUUAAGGGGAAAAGUUAGAGCAAUCGAAGCUUAGAACCGAAGCCCCAGUAAACGGCGGCCGUAACUAUAACGGUCCUAAGGUAGCGAAAUUCCUUGUCGGGUAAGUUCCGACCCGCACGAAAG
rnacentral:rRNA from 1 species